rnacentral:rRNA from 1 species
ACUCCUACGGGAGGCAGCAGUGGGGAAUAUUGCACAAUGGGCGCAAGCCUGAUGCAGCAACGCCGUGUGAGUGAAGAAGGUUUUCGGAUCGUAAAACUCUGUCCUAAGGGAAGAAAAAAUGACGGUACCUUAGGAGGAAGCCCCGGCUAACUACGUGCCAGCAGCCGCGGUAAUACGUAGGGGGCAAGCGUUAUCCGGAAUCACUGGGCGUAAAGGGUGCGUAGGCGGCUUAGCAAGCCAGAGGUGAAAGGCAUUGGCUCAACCAAUGUAAGCCUUUGGAACUGUUAAGCUUGAGUGCAGGAGAGGUAAGUGGAAUUCCUAGUGUAGAGGUGAAAUUCGUAGAUAUUAGGAGGAACACCAGUGGCGAAGGCGACUUACUGGACUGUAACUGACGCUGAUGCACGAAAGCGUGGGUAGCGAACAGGAUUAGAUACCCUGGUAGGAUAGCG